rnacentral:rRNA from 1 species
UUGACGGGGCCGCACAAGCGGUGGAGCAUGUGGUUUAAUCGACGCAACGCGAAGAACCUUACCUGGGCUUGACAUCUGGGGAAUCUCAUGGAAACAUGGGAGUGCGGAGCAAUCUGAACCCCAAGACAGGUGCUGCAUGGCUGUCGUCAGCUCGUGUCGUGAGAUGUUGGGUUAAGUCCCGCAACGAGCGCAACCCUUGUCUCUAGUUGCCACCAUUCAGUUGGGCACUCUAGAGAGACUGCCGGUGAUAAACCGGAGGAAGGUGGGGACGACGUCAAGUCCUCAUGGCCUUUAUGCCCAGGGCUACACACGUGCUACAAUGGAUCGUACAAAGGGUCGCGAACCCGCGAGGGGGAGCCAAUCCCAAAAACCGGUCCUCAGUUCGGAUUGGAGUCUGCAACUCGACUCCAUGAAGUUGGAAUCGCUAGUAAUCGUGGAUCAGCAUGCCACGGUCGAAUACGUUCCCGGGCCUU